rnacentral:rRNA from 1 species
UUUUUGUAGUAAUACAAAGCAUACGGCUCAGUAACGCGUAGUCAACCUACCCUAUGGACGAGAAUAAUCUCGGGAAACUGAGGAUAAUACUCGAUAGAUCAUAAUGCCUGGAAUGGUUUAUGGUUGAAAUGAUUCGUCGCCAUAGGAUGGGACUGCGACCUAUCAGCUUGUUGGUGAGGUAAUGGCCCACCAAGGCGAUUACAGGUACGGGCUCUGAGAGGAGAAGCCCGGAGAUGGGUACUGAGACAAGGACCCAGGCCCUAUGGGGCGCAGCAGGCGAGAAAACUUUGCAAUGUGCGAAAGCACGACAAGGUUAGUCCGAGUGAUUUCUGCUAAAGAGAUCUUUUGCAAGUCAUAAAACCACUAGUGAAUAAGGGGUGGGCAAGUUCUGGUGUCAGCCGCCGCGGUAAAACCAGCACCUCAAGUGGUCAGGAGGAUUAUUGGGCCUAAAGCAUCCGUAGCCGGCUCUGUUAGUUUUCGGUUAAAUCCAUGUGCUCAACUCAUGGGCUGCCGAAAA